AUUGAACGCUGGCGGCAUGUCUUACACAUGCAAGUCGAACGGUAACAGGUCUUCGGAUGCUGACGAGUGGCGAACGGGUGAGUAAUACAUCGGAACGUGCCCGAGAGUGGGGGAUAACGAGGCGAAAGCUUUGCUAAUACCGCAUACGAUCUCAGGAUGAAAGCAGGGGACCGCAAGGCCUUGCGCUCACGGAGCGGCCGAUGGCAGAUUAGGUAGUUGGUGGGAUAAAAGCUUACCAAGCCGCCGAUCUGUAGCUGGUCUGAGAGGACGACCAGCCCCGAGGGGACUGGGCCACGGCCCAGACUCCUACGGGAGGCAGCAGUGGGGAAUUUUGGGCAAUGGGCGCAAGCCUGAUCCAGCCAUGCCGCGUGCAGGAUGAAGGCCUUCGGGUUGUAAACUGCUUUUGUACGGAACGAAAAGCCCUGGGUUAAUACCCUGGGGUCAUGACGGUACCGUAAGAAUAAGCACCGGCUAACUACGUGCCAGCCGCCGCAGUAACAC
rnacentral:rRNA from 1 species